GAUGAACGCUGGCGGCGUGCCUAAUACAUGCAAGUCGAGCGAACAGACGAGGAGCUUGCUCCUCUGACGUUAGCGGCGGACGGGUGAGUAACACGUGGAUAACCUACCUAUAAGACUGGGAUAACUUCGGGAAACCGGGGCUAAUACCGGAUAAUAUAUUGAACCGCAUGGUUCAAUAGUGAAAGACGGUUUUGCUGUCACUUAUAGAUGGAUCCGCGCCGCAUUAGCUAGUUGGUAAGGUAACGGCUUACCAAGGCAACGAUGCGUAGCCGACCUGAGAGGGUGAUCGGCCACACUAGAACUGAGACACGGUCCAGACUCCUACGGGAGGCAGCAGUAGGGAAUCUUCCGCAAUGGGCGAAAGCCUGACGGAGCAACGCCGCGUGAGUGAUGAAGGUCUUCGGAUCGUAAAACUCUGUUAUUAGGGAAGAACAAAUGUGUAAGUAACUAUGCACGUCUUGACGGUACCUAAUCAGAAAGCCACGGCUAACUACGUG
rnacentral:rRNA from 1 species